UACGUAGGGUGCGAGCGUUAAUCGGAAUUACUGGGCGUAAAGCGUGCGCAGGCGGUUCGUCGUGUCUCGUGUGAAAGCCCCGGGCUCAACCUGGGAAUGGCAUGGGAAACUGGCGAACUGGAGUGUGGCAGAGGGGGGUGGAAUUCCGCGUGUAGCAGUGAAAUGCGUAGAGAUGCGGAGGAACACCGAUGGCGAAGGCAGCCCCCUGGGCUGACACUGACGCUCAGGCACGAAAGCGUGGGGAG
rnacentral:rRNA from 1 species